GGAUUAGAUACCCUGGUAGUCCACGCCGUAAACGAUGUCAACUAGCUGUUGGACACCAUUGAGUGUUUUGUGGCGAAGCUAACGCGAUAAGUUGACCGCCUGGGGAGUACGGCCGCAAGGUUAAAACUCAAAUGAAUUGACGGGGGCCCGCACAAGCGGUGGAGCAUGUGGUUUAAUUCGAAGCAACGCGAAGAACCUUACCACCCCUUGACAUCCUGCGAACUUUCUAGAGAUAGAUUGGUGCCUUCGGGAACGCAGUGACAGGUGCUGCAUGGCUGUCGUCAGCUCGUGCCG
rnacentral:rRNA from 1 species